UAUCUUUGGGGAUGGGUGAAAUUCCAUACCGGCGGUAUAGCCCGCGAGCUUUUGCUGAACAGGUCAGAUUCCUGUGCCGACAGUAUAGUCUGGAUGAGAAAAGAG
rnacentral:ncRNA from 1 species